GACGAAGGUGGCAAGCGUUGUUCGGAAUUACUGGGCAUAAAGAGCGCGUAGGUGGCUUGGUAUGUCAAUGGUGAAAUCCCGUGGCUCAACCACGGAACUGCCAUUGAAACUGCCUCGCUUGAGUUCAGGAGGGGAGAGUGGAAUUCCUAGUGUAGCGGUGAAAUGCGUAGAUAUUAGGAGGAACGCCGGAGGCGAAAGCGACUCUCUGGACUGACACUGACACUGAGGCGCGAAAGCUAGGGGAGCAAACAGGAUUAGAUACCCCCGUA
rnacentral:rRNA from 1 species